rnacentral:snRNA from 1 species
GGAUGUUAGUAUGGCCCAGCUAUAACAUUAUUUACCCUAUUGAUUGCCGGGGUCUAGUGAACUGAUUGGCUAGGGAGGUAGGUGCCCCUUCUCUCCCUCACUGAUUAAUGAAUGUACUUGCCUCCCAAAGCUCCUUGAUUGACUGAAGCGGACAGCAGACCUCCCCAAUAGAGGAUGGCAUUCUUCAACUGAAAGUAUACCACUAGCUGUGCUCCCCUGGAAGAACCCCAUAGAUGUUCUCAAAGAAAUGGGAGCAUGAAUCUCAGAGGAGAAAUCCCAAGACCCCCAGGCCUACUUUUGGGGGGAGUGGUUACCUUUAAA